ensembl:lncRNA
AAUCACACACGCACACGCGCGCGCGCAGCACUCACCGACCACUCUGCGGGGACGCAGGGAGCCGCAGGCCGAAGGAGGGCGGCCGCAGUCAAGCCCGCCCCUCCGCCCCCGCGCGGCCUGUCACGGCGGCCCGGGGUCCCGGAGCCUGCCCGGGGGCCGGAGGGGCGUGCGAGAGCCGGGCGCGGGCCGGGGGCCAGGCCCGUCCCUCCCUCACAUGGAGCCCGUGCCGCCCCUCGGUGCUUCUCGCCACAGCUGCCCGGAGGCCUGCGGGGAGCCGGGCAGGAAAGGAGGAAGCCCAGGGCCGGCGCCGCCAGGGGCAGGAGAAGAGGCGGGAGCAGCGACUCCGCGGCCGGGGACGCGGGAUGUCCGGGUCGUCGUCCUCGUCUUCUCCGCCGCUGGCCGCCCGACCCUCGAACGCCGAACCCCGCGGUCGCACCGCCCUCGUCAAGCUCCGCAGCCGAGGGUAGCCCGGCCGCCACUACACACGGACCCGUGACGUCUGGCGUAGCGCGGCGCACGUCAAGGCCGCUUGCUCGUGAACGCGCGGCCCUUCUCUCACUGGGAACGGAACCCGCCCCGGCCGCGCGCCCGGCUAGACAGAGCGUGUCGGCGCCUGCGCAGUGGCCCGCUCUGACCAAGCAAGGCCGGGCCCCGCCCACCGGGUAGUUUGGGAGUUCUCCGGCCGGGCCUGGCCUCAGCGUCGGCCCCGCCCCUGGCUUCGGGCGCCCUGCGCUUUGCUGCAUGCGUGUCGUAAAACAGUCUGGGUUUUGUCGCGUCCACGAGUCACUCAGGUCUCGGCUGGUAGCGCUAGAGAAGGAACUCUUACGUGGACUGCAGGCUGAACCCAAGGGCGGCGAGACUGGAGAGGCUGCGACCGACAAAACCAAGGCAAGUUAGUUCAAGAAAAAUUGCCAAGAUAGUACAGAGAGUUCCCAUAUGCUCUCACAUCCAAACCUAAUAACCUAAAGGAUAUCACUUUGGUGACACAUGUGGAGGAAGGCAGGAGUCCAGAAGAACCACACAUCCUACCAACAAUAACGCUGGCCCUCAGUGCUGUGUGAUCCAUGCAGAAGGCCUUGUGUGCCCCGCACAAAGAAAACAAUGACCAGACUACCAAAUCCUAGCCAGCUCUGCUCCUGCAUUCUCCUCAGCACAGAGUGGCAGAAGUGACAGCAAAAAGAUUGACCUGAUUGAAAUAAGACCCACACCUAGAAGAGUUUCACUCUAGGACUGAAGUGUUACUGUACCACAGGGACUGGGUGAGAGACAUCCAGGGGAGGCAGCUUAGGAUAAGAGCUAAAGAGGGGUCUCUGGCAUCACCUGGUAGGCUUGGGCUGAGCCCAGGAGGAUCAUGGGACCUGUAUACUGUGGUGGGAGUUCAGGUUUGAUAGGUAUAAUCUUCAGAAGUGGUGGUCCUGAGGAGAUGACAUUUGGUCCAGGUGUACACUUGAGCCCUUGCACCACACCUAUAUCCAGCAGAAAUUAGUGGUCUGAAUUACUAUAGUUCAAUAUCUGGGUGGCCUAAGUGUCUUCACUAAAAUCAUAGACGUCUGCUCUGGUUAAGGGUAGUUGAAGACUUCUGGGAAGAUGGUGGAGUGGUGAACAGAGAAACAGUCUCUCCAAGAUUUGGUGUCCAGAUGCUGGAAUAUAUUACCAUGAGGAAGACAAGGAGGGAAGUGGGUGCCUGGGACUCAGCAAGGAUCUGAAGGGAGAAUUGCAGCCCAUAGGAAGAGUGAAGAGAGAUACUUAAACAAAAAAAGAAGGAGAUGGCAAACAGUGCUUCCUCCCUGAGCCCUGACUCACUGCAUGGGAAGGGUGGCUUAAACUUGCAUACACACAGUGACUACUGGCAACCCCAGAGGCCUCCAUGGAGAAAUGCACCAGUGGAAUGUAGCAGUGGAUGCAGCAGACUGCAGUGGCUGGAGAGUUAUUCGGGUUCAGAUGUCCCCCAAGAGAGGGUGAUUGACCAGUCACUGUCUUGGAGGGGCCACAUGCAGAAGAUUGAAUCUAGAUCCAUAUAUCUCACUAUGUACUAAACUGAAAUCAAAAUGGGUCAAAGACCUAAAUAUUAAAACAGAAACAAUCUUCUGGAAAAUAAAAUAGGUACAACUCUUGAAGACAUAGGCAUAGGCAAGGACUUUUGAACAGAUCCCCAGUGGCACAAGAAAUAAUACUGAGAAUCAACAAAUGGGGUCAUAUCAAAUUAAAAAGCUCCAGAGCAAAGGAAACCACCAAAAGAGUGAGGAGACAACCUACAGAAUGGGAAAAAUUAUUUGCCGGCUAUUCCUCAGACAAAAGACUAACAUUAUAAUAUAUAAACUCAAAAGGGCUGGGGAUUUAGCUCAGUGAUUCCACCACCUGCCUUGCAGGUGCAAGGUCCCAAGUUUGAUCUCCGGUACCAAAAAAAAAAGAACUCAAAAGUAUUAGACUCCCAAAAUUAAAGACCCAAUCAAAAGGGCAAAUGAAAUGAAUAGACACUAUGUAGAAGAAGGACAAGCAACCAAUAAGUAGAUUUUAAAAUGUUCAGUGUCUCUGACCAUUAGUGAAAUGCAAAUUGAAACUACACUGAGGUACCAUCUUACCCCAGAAAGAAUGGCUAUCAUCAAAAAAGUCAUAGCAAAUGCUGGUGAGGAUAUGGGAAAAAGGGAAUUCUACAUUGUUGGUGGGAAUAUAAACUAAUAUAAUCAGUAUGGAAAUCAGUGUGAAGAUUUCUCAGCUAUCCCCUUUAUAAGUAUCUUCCCAAAAGAUUUUAAAUUGUCAUAGGGAUACAUGCAUACCCAUGAUUGUAGCAGCACAGUUUAUAAUAGCUAAUUUCCGAAACAGGGUAUAGGUCCAUGAACAGAUGAAUGGAUAAGGAAAAUGUAUUUAUAUACCAUGAAGUACUACUGUGCCAUAAAGAAAGAUAAAUUUCAGGAAUUCAUAGGUAAAUGGAUGCAACUAGAGAACCUAAUGUUAAGUGAAAUAAAGUCAGACAAAGCAGUUUAAAUAUCACAUAGCCUCUCAUAUGAGAAACAGUAUAUGCAAAUGACAAAAUGGAAGAUAAAUAGGAUAUGGGGAGAGGUUCAGUGGUUCCCCAAAUUACCUAUCCCAUUGUUUCAAAAAUAUUUUAGGGCUGAGGAUUUAGCUCAGUGGCACUGUAUCUGCCUCACAAGCGCAAGGUCCUGAGUUUGAUUCCCGGUACCAAAAAAAAAUUUUUAAUGUAUAUGCAAAUUUGUUUCAUUUAUACUAGUAGUUUCUCUUCAUUUGUUGAAAAGAAAAUUUUGUACUAUCAGUUUGCUGCUUUUGUAAGAAUCUUUUGUAGAUGUCUUGUCCGCUGAGUAACUACUUUGAAGAUAAAUGCUACAUAGUGUAUUAACUAUUGCUAUUCUGUUACUUUGUUUUAUCAUAAAAGAAGAAUUUAUCAAUGAGUUAAAAAAUGAGUGGGCACCUGUAUAGUUAGUCCUCAAUAUCUGCACAUUCUGUAUUUACAAAUUCAAUCCUGUGGACUGAAAGUACUUUAUAAAAUAUAGUUCACCUGAGCUGAAUGUGUACAGGUUUCAUUUCUUCUCAUUAUACUGUGGACAAUACAGUGUAACAACUCUUUACAUAACAUUUGCAUUGCAAUAGGUAUUGUAAUUGAUUCAGUGAUGUUGCCUUGAUAUUGGUAAAUUUUGCUUCCCUCAUUUUUCUUCACCGUUGGUUGUUAAUUUUAUUAGUUUGUUCAGAAAAUAAAUUUUUAGUUUUCUUGAUAUUUCCAUUAUACAAAUUUCUUUGCACUGAUUUGUGCUCGUUGGUUUACAGUCUUUACUUGUUUAGUUUUCACUUUGUUUCAGAUUAGUUGUUUGAAUCAUUCAUUUUUAAUCUUUUUGUCAUAUGUCCAUUUAGGUUUUUUUUUUUUUUUUUUGGUUUUUUGAGACAGGGUCUCACUGUGUAGUUCACCCUGGCCUUGAACUCAGUAUGAACCCCAGGGUAGACCUCAAACCCAUGGUGAUCAUCCUGCCUCGGCCUCAAAAGUGUUGGGAUUAUAGGCAUGGACUAUCACACCCAGCUUAGGUUACUUAUUUUCUUGUAAGCAUGAUUUAAUGUCUUUUAAUUAUCAGUGUUAUGGCUUGCACCUUGAUGUCUCCGCCAAAGUCUCAUGCAGUCAUAGGUGGAGCUUUUUCAGAGGUGGCUCCUUCUAGAGUAUAUGAUGUUGGAAUUAAGGGUGUGUGAUUACUAAAUUAGUCCAGUGAUUGGUUUGGCAUAGUUCUGGGUGUGGAUAAUGGGAAAGCCCACCCUGGGUGUGAGUGCUGCCUGCCCUCGGGGAGGGCACCCUGGAUGAAUAUAAUUUAAGUGAGAAAAAGAGGGCUCUUGUGGCCACUUGCUGCUUGCUUCCUUGCUACUUCUCUGCCUUCCCACCUUCCACCUGCCAUGAACUAUUUCUCCCAUGCUUCCUUGCCUUGGAGUCAGCUGACUGUGAACUGAAACCUCUACAAACUGUGAGCUAAAUAAACCUUUCUUCCUUGAACUUUGAGUGUUGGGUAUUUUGCUUCAGCAACAAGAAAAGUAACAAUCAGGAAGCUCAAAAUACUUUUUAUACUUAUGACCUGAUUUUUUUUGAUUCGUGAGUACCUAAAAAUGUAUUUCCAUGUACCCAAAACAAAAAAAUGUUCCACCUUCCAACACUUCUUCAUUGGCGAUGAAGACUAUAGCACAUGAACUUGGAGGAAAAACUCAAGGGAUACCAUAUACAUACCAUCAAUAUGAUUUAUGACUUAGUGUUGGCAUUAAUCACCUGGUUGAGAUAGUGUUAUCCACUGUGAAAUUACUCUCCUUUUUCUCUUUCUAUAUAGCACUCUUUGCAAGAAAGUUGCAAAGGCGUAUGGAGUUAUGCUCCACUUUCUUGCAU